rnacentral:rRNA from 1 species
CGUACUGAGACACGGACCAGACUCCUACGGGAGGCAGCAGUGGGGAAUUUUCCGCAAUGGGCGAAAGCCUGACGAAGCAACGCCGCGUGAGGGAUGAAGGCCUCUGGGCUGUAAACCUCUUUUCUCAAGGAAGAAGAUCUGACGGUACUUGAGGAAUAAGCCACGGCUAAUUCCGUGCCAGCAGCCGCGGUAAUACGGGAGUGGCAAGCGUUAUCCGGAAUUAUUGGGCGUAAAGCGUCCGCAGGCGGCUUGGUAAGUCUGUCGUUAAAGCGUGGAGCUUAACUCCAUUUAAGCGAUGGAAACUGCCAGGCUUGAGUGUGGUAGGGGCAGAGGGAAUUCCCGGUGUAGCGGUGAAAUGCGUAGAUAUCGGGAAGGACACCAGUGGCGAAGGCGCUCUGCUGGGCCAUAACUGACGCUCAUGGACGAAAGCCAGGGGAGCGAAAGGGAUUAGAUACCCCUGUAGUCCUGGCCGUAAACGAUGAACACUAGGUGUCGGGGGAAUCGACCCCCUCGGUGUCGUAGCCAACGCGUUAAGUGUUCCGCCUGGGGAGUACGCACGCAAGUGUGAAACUCAAAGGAAUUGACGG